AGGACGAACGCUGGCGGCGUGCUUAACACAUGCAAGUCGAGCGGAAAGGCCCUUCGGGGUACUCGAGCGGCGAACGGGUGAGUAACACGUGAGUAAUCUGCCCCUAGCUCUGGGAUAGCUCCGGGAAACCGGGAUUAAUACCGGAUACGACCACUUUAGACAUCUGUUGUGGUGGAAAGAAUUUUGGCGUAGGGAUGAGCUCGCGGCCUAUCAGCUUGUUGGUGGGUAACGGCCUACCAAGGCGACGGACGGGUAG
rnacentral:rRNA from 1 species